UACGUAGGUGGCAAGCGUUGUCCGGAAUUAUUGGGCGUAAAGCGCGCGCAGGCUGUUUCUUAAGUCUGAUGUGAAAGCCCACGGCUCAACCGUGGAGGGUCAUUGGAAACUGGGAAACUUGAGUGCAGAAGAGGAGAGUGGAAUUCCACGUGUAGCGGUGAAAUGCGUAGAUAUCGGGAGGAACACCAGUGGCGAAGGCGAGUCUCUGGCCGGACCCUGACGCUGACGCGCGAAAGCUAGGGGAGCGAACGGG
rnacentral:rRNA from 1 species